rnacentral:lncRNA from 1 species
CUGAUUGUCUUCUUCCUCCUCACUGUCGGCCGAAAAAUCUCUGAUUGUUUGCGAAGUUUGGAUAACCGAUGAUGCUUUGAGCUCCGGCGAAGCUCCAUUCCGGACAAGGUGUCUCCGGUGAGGAUCUGGUCAAAUACGAUCUGGUUGGAUUAAUUAGAUAUGACCGAAAUCAUUGAUUUUGGUUGGAGUUAUGGGGUGAUGGAGUAGAAACUGAGUGGAUAAUAAAGUUGUUUAGGUUUGACGGAAAGAAUGAAAGAAGGGAGGUGACGGAUCUUUUGUUGGUGGUGUUGGAGACAUGGCCGGAGUUUGGUAGUGACGACUUGUUGCCAGUAGCGAAGGAGAGGAGGUGGAUGGUCAGAGUUGUUGUUUGGCUGUGGUAUAUUUUUGAUUGUUUGUCGGAUUUCGGUGGCUUAAGGUUGGAGAAGACAGUGACGACAUGGCUGGAGUUUGCCGGCGGCGGCAGUGUUGUCGAUUGUUUGCUG